AGAGUUUGAUCCUGGCUCAGAUUGAACGCUGGCGGCAUGCUUUACACAUGCAAGUCGAACGGCAGCACGGGGGCAACCCUGGUGGCGAGUGGCGAACGGGUGAGUAAUGUAUCGGAACAUGUCCGGAAGUGGGGGAUAACGUAGCGAAAGUUACGCUAAUACCGCAUAUGCCCUGAGGGGGAAAGGAGGGGAUCGCAAGACCUUUCGCUUUCGGAGUGGCCGAUAUCAGAUUAGCUAGUUGGUGAGGUAAAGGCUCACCAAGGCGACGAUCUGUAGCUGGUCUGAGAGGACGACCAGCCACACUGGGACUGAGACACGGCCCAGACUCCUACGGGAGGCAGCAGUGGGGAAUUUUGGACAAUGGGGGCAACCCUGAUCCAGCCAUGCCGCGUGAGUGAAGAAGGCC
rnacentral:rRNA from 1 species